AUGGCAGAUGGCAAGAAACCUCAGAAGGAAGGUACGAAAUUGGAAGUCAACACAGCGUUUGAAAUCCCUGAGGAUAUCUAUGAUGAAUAUUGCACUACUGAUGAGGCCAAACAUGGUAAGGAGACUAAGAAUCGGCGCAAGGUGCGCAUACAGAAGAUAGAGAGGAGAUGGGCACGGGAAUGGAGGGAAUAUCGCUAUGUUACACCCAAGUACAUGAAGAAAUUCGUUGUACAUCCUCCACUCCCAAGACCUCCAUUGGCACCUGGCCAAGUUGCUGAUCCCUCUAGCAUCAGAAGAGGUGAGGAAUUUCCCAAGGAAUAG
rnacentral:rRNA from 1 species